GGAGAGGUGCCUGAGUCCGGUUUAAAGGAACAGUCUUGAAAACUGUCGUGGUCCCCGAUCACCGCGGGUUCGAAUCCCGCUCUCUCCU
rnacentral:tRNA from 1 species